GCUUCUGAGGAACCACUUGGGCAGUGUUGCCACCGGGGCCCACCAGCCAGAAGGGGUGUCUGCGCAGCUGGUGGAGUGUACUGCUUGGAAACACAACCUCUGAGAUCUGCGGUCCACGCAGCCGAGCUGCAGGUCUGUCCAGGUUUUCCCUGUUUCACCUGCACAUUUUACACCAUAUACUGUAGCAAGUCUGGCUGCCAGCACCCCCAUUUAGGCUUCUUUAUUCGGUUAACGAGAAUCUCGAUACUUUCAUUCACCUCCACUCACAUGUGGGCUCACACAGGCUAAGCUUUGUGAAAGGCCACCAUCAUCCUGGCACGGUGGUGGUAGCAUUGAUGGGGACUGUCUGUGCACAACCAGCCAGUAAGUUCUGCCCAUUGCUGACUGAUUCUUCUGAUAUUGGUCUUAUGGUUGAUUGGUACUGAGUUUUUGUUCCACGGAGUGGAAGAAUGAAACUGCAAACAGCCAGCUGUGUGAGCAUAGCAACAAGAUUCAUUUAAGAAAGUGAUAGAUGAUGGACUCCCCAGAGAGGAGGGACUUUCAUACCCUUAGAAAAAGCACAAUGGGCCAUUUUUAACCGCUGUCAUUAAUCAUUGGCUUUAGUCCUUCCCCAUGUCUGAGAGCAAAAGCACCAAAGCUUUUUAUUUUUCUGUACAAAAUCAUCGUCAGCAGUCCUCUAAUUUUCAUCUAAAAGAAUUCAAACAUCAGUCAGUUUCCCCUUCUCCACCAUCUCUUCACCUCCUCCCUCCCUGGCUGAACACCCGCGUACUUGAACUUCAAAAGCAGUUGUGGGCAGCCUUCCUCGAAGCCCCUGGACAGAAUCAUCAUUCCUGCUCACAGCUGGUAUCCUCAUUACCUAUUCUGACCUGCAGUGACUACCUGGCCUUUCCUCUCUCACCUCUAUCUCUUCAGCAGUGAUUGGGUGCAUAAAUUGCUC
rnacentral:lncRNA from 1 species